rnacentral:rRNA from 1 species
CGUCUAUAUACGUAUAGCAUAUCAAUAAGCGGAGGAAAAGAAACUAACUAGGAUUCCCUUAGUAACGGCGAGUGAAGCGGGAAGAGCUCAAAUUUGAAAUCUUCAAGGUUCUACCUUGACGAAUUGUAGUUUAAAGAAGUGUUUUCUGUUGGAGUUUUGGUAAAAGUUCUUUGGAAUAGGACAUCAUAGAGGGUGAGAAUCCCGUAUUUGACCAUUAUCUUCCAACUUUGUGAUACACUUUCAAAGAGUCGGAUUGUUUGGGAAUGCAGUCCAAAAUGGGUGGUAAAUUUCAUCUAAAGCUAAAUACUGGCGAGAGACCGAUAGCGAACAAGUACCGUGAGGGAAAGAUGAAAAGAACUUUGAAAAGAGAGUUAAACAGUACGUGAAAUUGUCAAAAGGGAAGCGUUUGACACCAGUGUUGUUUUCUCGAAAAUCAAUUAAAAAUGGCGGAUUUUGUGUUGUAUUGACUUUAUCAGCUUUCUGCACUUUUUUCCUUGUCUUUUUUAAUGCACUUUUCGUUUAACAAGUCAACAUCAAUUUCUUUUGUUGUAAAAGGGUCAUUGGAAGGUGGCUUUCUUUUCGGAGAAAGUGUUUAUAGCCUUUGCCUCUGCAAUCGGAGAGAUUGAGGUCUGCAGCGUAGAUCCUUCGGGGUUAGAUGCAUUUGUGCUAAGCUUAUAGCCUUUCAUAGACAACUUGUUGACUAUGAUCAGUCAUGUAGCUUACUCGCUUAUGUUAUUUUACCUACGCUUAGGAUGUUGACGAUCAGCUGAGCGCG